rnacentral:rRNA from 1 species
GACGAACGCUGGCGGCGUGCUUAACACAUGCAAGUCGAACGCUGAAGCUCAGCUUUUGUUGGGUGGAUGAGUGGCGAACGGGUGAGUAACACGUGAGUAACCUGCCUCCUUCUUUGGGAUAACGCCCGGAAACGGGUGCUAAUACUGGAUAUUCACUGGUCUUCGCAUGGGGGUUGGUGGAAAGGGUUUUUCUGGUGGGGGAUGGGCUCGCGGCCUAUCAGCUUGUUGGUGGGGUGAUGGCCUACCAAGGCUUUGACGGGUAGCCGGCCUGAGAGGGUGACCGGUCACAUUGGGACUGAGAUACGGCCCAGGCUCCUACGGGAGGCAGCAGUGGGGAAUAUUGCACAAUGGGCGCAAGCCUGAUGCAGCGACGCCGCGUGAGGGAUGGAGGCCUUCGGGUUGUGAACCUCUUUCGCUCAUGGUCAAGCCGCAACAAUGGUUGUGGUGAGGGUUGUGGGUAAAGAAGCGCCGGCUAACUACGUG